CACCACAACAUUUCGUAAAACCCUUGCCACAAGGGGCAGAACUAGGGGUGAGCGCGGUGUGAUUUUCGAGUGAAAACCGAAAUGAAAUGAAACCAAACCAUUUGGUUCGGUUCGGCACUGUUUCAAAUGGCUUCAGUUCAGUUUUUGAGAAAAAAAUGUACAAUUUAAAAUAUAAACCUAUUUACGCAUAAGACUGUCUUAUUUUCCUCAUGUAUUAAUUAAUGAACCUGUAGCAAAACAGCAACAACAAUACUUUACGACAACCCAAUUGGAAAGUUAAGUUUGCCAUAAUACAACUAAAGUUCAAACUUCAAAGUUUCAAACAAAGUUUAAUGUCAAAAUGCCUUAUGGAAUUAGUACAACCAAAAAAGUACAAGGUUCAUGGAAUUCAACAAAGUCUUGGUUUUCAACUUACUUUGCAUCAUUCAAGUUUCAAAUCUUUGCCUUUCCUUUUCCUAUUGGACACUUAUUCUUCGAAGGUUUAUGAGGCCUUUGAGCUUGUGAACGGGCUUGAGAAGGCAAUACUUCUGAAGACCUUGCACCUUGUAAACGCAAAAGGGAAGGUUCUUGUGAACUAAAACCUUGAGAUUGCUUUAGAGCUUGUUGUGGUUGUGGAUCAAGAGUAAGAGAGGCAAUGCUCACUAUCUUAAAUGAAUGGAAUGCAUAGAAUCUCAGAUAUUGCUGAAGAAAAUCAAUUAAAAUGAAUCAAAUGCUCUAAGUUCUUACCAUUUAUUAACUAAACUAACUAAUACAGGUUCUAAGUUCUUACCAUUUUAGCUGGAUUGAAGAGCAAGUGAAUGAUUUGCCAAGUUUGUUUUGCAGAGCUUUAGAUUUGCAAAGUUCAGGGCUUACAGAUGAAUGAGAUCUGGAGAUGCAAGCAGUGAGGUCGUAGAGAUGCAAACUGCUAGGUUGCACAUAUGCAAGCACCAAGGGCACUGAUGUCAAUUGUGGAAGAGAUGAAGAUGAGUUUUGAGAAAGAGAUAAAGAUGAGUUUUGAGAAAGAGAGAGACAGACUGAUGUAUAAAGUAUAGUUUUGAUGCAACUUUGAAAACCUUAAACUGAAUAAGGUUUUGACCCAAACGCCUACAAACUCAUGUUAAAGGCUGG
rnacentral:lncRNA from 1 species